rnacentral:rRNA from 1 species
CCUACGGGAGGCUGCAGUGAGGAAUAUUGGUCAAUGGACGAGAGUCUGAACCAGCCAAGUAGCGUGAAGGAUGACUGCCCUAUGGGUUGUAAACUUCUUUUAUAAAGGAAUAAAACGAGGCACGUGUGCCUUUUUGCAUGUACUUUAUGAAUAAGGAUCGGCUAACUCCGUGCCAGCAGCCGCGGUAAUACGGAGGAUCCGAGCGUUAUCCGGAUUUAUUGGGUUUAAAGGGAGCGUAGAUGGGUUGUUAAGUCAGUUGUGAAAGUUUGCGGCUCAACCGUAAAAUUGCAAUUGAUACUGGCAGUCGUGAGUACAGUUGAGGUAGGCGGAAUUCGUGGUGUAGCGGUGAAAUGCUGAGAUAUCACGAAGAACCCCGAUUGCGAAGGCAGCUUACUAAACUGUGACUGACAUUGAUGCUCGAAAGUGUGGGUAUCAAACAGGAUUAGAUACCCUUGUAGUC